rnacentral:rRNA from 1 species
GACGAACGCUGGCGGCGUGCCUAAUACAUGCAAGUCGAACGCGUGGCGGACGGGUGAGUAAUGUCUGGGAAACUGCCCGAUGGAGGGGGAUAAAUACUGGAAACGGUAGCUAAUACCGCAUCCCCUCUGCUGUGCCCAGAUGGGAGUAGCUAGUAGGUGGGGUAACGGCUCACCCAGGCGACGCACCCUAGCUGGUCUGAGAGGAUGACCCGCCACACUGGAACUGAGACACGGUCCAGACUCCGACGGGAGGCAGCAGUGGGGAAUAUUGCACAAGGGGCGCAAGCCUGAUGCAGCCAUGCCGCGUGUAUGAAGAAGGCCUUCGGGUUGUAAAGUACUGUAAGCGAGGAGGCGUUACUCGCAGAAGAAGCACCGGCUAACUCCGUGCCAGCAGCCGCGGUAAUUC